rnacentral:rRNA from 1 species
AUUGAACGCUGGCGGCAUGCCUUACACAUGCAAGUCGAACGGUAACGGGUCCUUCGGGAUGCCGACGAGUGGCGAACGGGUGAGUAAUAUAUCGGAACGUGCCCAGUAGUGGGGGAUAACUGCCCGAAAGAGCAGCUAAUACCGCAUACGACCUGAGGGUGAAAGGGGGGGAUCGCAAGACCUCUCGCUAUUGGAGCGGCCGAUAUCAGAUUAGCUAGUUGGUGGGGUAAAGGCCUACCAAGGCAACGAUCUGUAGCUGGUCUGAGAGGACGACCAGCAACACUUGGACUGGUACAUGGCCCAGACUGCUACGGGAGGAGGCAGUGGGGCAUUUAGGACGAUGGGCGCAAGCCUGAUCCAGCAAUGCCGCGGGCAGGAAGAAGGCCUUCGGGUUGUAAACUGCUUUUGUCAGGGAAGAAAUCUUCUGGGCUAAUACCCCGGGAGGAUGACGGUACCUGAAGAAUAAGCGCCGGCUAACUACGUGCAAGCCGCCGCAGUAG